rnacentral:rRNA from 1 species
CCUACGGGGGGCUGCAGUAAGGAAUAUUGGUCAAUGGGCGGGAGCCUGAACCAGCCAUGCCGCGUGCAGGAAGACGGCCUUAUGGGUUGUAAACUGCUUUUAUCGGGGAAUAAAACUUUCUACGCGUAGAGAGCUGAAGGUACCCGAAGAAUAAGCAUCGGCUAACUCCGUGCCAGCAGCCGCGGUAAUACGGAGGAUGCCGGCGUUAUCGGGUUUAAAGGGGUUUAAAGGGGAUUGGUGCGGCAGUGUUGAAAUUCUAGUGCUUAACAUUAGACCUGCCAUUGAUACUGUCAGUCUAGAGUAUAGUUGGAGUGGGCGGAAUGUGUCAUGUAGCGGUGAAAUGCUUAGAUAUGACACAGAACACCGAUCGCGAAGGCAGCUCACUAAGCUAAAACUGACGCUCAUGCACGAAAGCGUGGGGAUCAAACAGGAUUAGAUACCCCUGUAGUC